rnacentral:lncRNA from 1 species
GCCAACUGUGUAAACUCUGUGCUGCAUAGAUAAUGAUGGAGCUUUGAUUGCUUAUCUUCAGACAAAUUAAUACAAUAUUCUCAUCAUAUGUUUCUUCACCAAGAGCAAAAAAUGAAAUGUAUUCGUGCAUUACAUUAAAAUAAUUUCAAGAUAACUAUAUUUUAUGGCAGUUAUUCAUGGUCUGUCAUUGGGAAAAUAAUGCAGAUUCCUUAUGUCCUUUUCCUCACUAUAUAAUAAGCACAUAUAUUUUUGUUAGAUGCAUCACAAUUUUCUUGAUUCAAUUCCAAUUCUAAGCCUUACUUUCACCAAGUAAAAAAACAAACAAUGGCUCCCUCACCUUUGAGAUCCAAGUCACUUAACCAUGGCCGCUCUCUUAGCUUCCCAUCUUCAUCACAUCCUGCUCUUACUCACUUCGAUGAGAACUUAUCCAGAUUGAGAUCUUCCGAGGCUGCUUGCUCGUCGCUCUCAUCCAUCAACCGCGCUGCAAAUGGCCUCAGAAACUUAUAUGAGAGCAUCGAUGAUUUGCUUCUCUUGCCUCACAUUCAGCAGAUCGUUUCUGAGGAGUGUGUUGAUGAUUACAUCAGCCUAUUGGAUGCUAGCAGCUCAGUUAAGGAUCUCAUCUCACUCGUGAAGGAAGAUCUACGAGAGCUUCUCUCUGCUGUAAGGAGAAAGGAUGUUCGAGGCAUAAACGGCUACCUUGCUUUAAGAAAGCAGUCGAAGAAAAAGAUCCAAAAGUGUUUAGAAGAAGUUGAGACGUAGCAGCGCCUCAGCCUUUUCUGAGAAUGUUUCCAUGUUGAAAGAUGCAGAGUCCGUUGCCAUUUCCUUGCUCGAGUCUCUCUUGUC